UGAAGUACCCAUGUCACAGCCCGUCCCGGAAUUUUAAUUCCGAGGACGUGAAAAGACCAAAAUGCCCUUAAGCGGAACUAAGGGGCGAAAAUUUAACAAUUGGAUUUACAUUAGUAUGUUUAAAGUUGUGUUUGGACUUAGGUAGGGCCUCCUACCCUCAAAACAUUCCCUAAAACCCGUAACCUUUCCUUCUCUCUCUUUUUCUUCUUUCAUCUCAGAAAACUCUCUCACUCUCUCUCUUACUCUCGAACAUACGGACUCACACCCAACCUCAAUCAAACCUCUACGAACGUUCCAUUUAAGACCACCAUCGUGAUCCUGAGGACUUCACGAGCUCGGGGAUACCAAACUCAGGCCAAACCAAGCUCACAGUGAGCUUAAGGAAGUCCCAAGGAAGCUCGGAGUGCUUCGUUGGAAGUUUUUGGACGUAAGAACACGGAGAUCGACAAGUUCAAAGUUUGGCCGGAGCUUUCGAGGCUCUUUCCGGCGAAUACCCGGCGAGUUAAGAGUUGAGUUUCCGGCGACCUCCGAGGCUUUCGAGGCAGUUUCCGGCCAAACCACGGCGAAC